AGGGGCAGGUCUGGAGCUGCACCUACCUGGCCAGGGCCUCGCCACCGCACUCGGCGACGUUGACCUUGCCCCAGAGGCCGGUGAUGAACUGCUUCUCCUCAGCUGUCCACUGCACCAUGGUGUCGGCAGGAGGGCUGCGUGUCGCACGAGGAACUCAGGCUCUGGCUCCCGGAGGAUCGCACGCUGGGGAGCCGCUGCCCGGCCCCGCUUUUAUCCCUGCGCGGGGCCCCUCCUCUGCCCCCUGCACCCCGUCAUUGGCUGCGCCCCCGGGGGGGCCCUGGCACGGGGAGGGGACCCAGCAUCGCCCAGCGCAGGGUGGGGCCCAGGCAAGGUGCCCAGAGCACCCCGGGCCUGGCUGGCCCGCCGCCCUCGCCGUCCCUGAUUUCCAGCCCUGCUCGAGGGGCCAUUAUCUCCCCACAGAGCCCCAGCACGGCCCCGUGCGCGUUCUGCUGCAGCUCCCCUCUGGGGAAGGUGCCAGCCCUGGCGCCCCUUGGGUGUGCCAGCCCCUGAGGAAGAAAAAGCAUCUGCACAGAUGUGCAACCUGACAGCGCCUGGCCCAGGGGUUCAGCAGCCUGAGGAUCAGUGGAAGCCUGAGAGCUGGGAGAGGCAGCUGGCUCUCUGCUCUUCUGCUCCUGUGCCCAGCUGAAGGCUGUUCCUGAAAAAACAUUGCUGAAACUGAGAUGCCUACAAACAAUCUUUCAAUUCCACUGAAAAGAUGUGCUUCAUUAAGCCAAAAUGAGUAAAAAAAAGGCUCUAACCCAUCCUGUGUGAGAGCUGCCCUCAUCCCCUCUUGGGAUCUUACACAUUUCAAAUAUCAAACUCUGACCAAGAUGCACCAAUCCUGCACCAUCACUGAUGCAGAAAAUGCUUUUAAUCAACUUAAUACAUCAGUAGGAAACUAUGGAGGGGUAAAUUCCUGCCUAAUCAGUGAAUCUCUAUGAAUUUAUAUCCUUUCAGAUAUCCCAGGAGGAGAGGCCCAGGGCCCACAGGCAGCCACAGAGACACAGAACACAAAGAAAUCCAGAAAAUGAGGUUUUUAUUGCCCGUUACAGACACGGGUGCCUCCCGAGGCCUCAGUGGUACUUGCGGGCCAGGGCGUGGGCCACCAGCCCCACCAGCUUCUGCCACGUGGCCUGGCAGGCAGGAGUGAAGUCCUUGGUGAAGUGGGCAGCCAGGACGAUGACCAGGAUGUCACCCAGGAGCUGCAAGGGGAAGGCAAGAGGGAAAUCAGGUCAGCAGAGUGCUGGGCACCCCUGGCCCUGCACAGCACCCGGGCCCAGGGAGCUCAGCUCCCCCGUGGGUGCGGGGCCGUGGCCCAGGGAAGCUCUGCCAGCUGCAGGACAAGAGCCCUGUGCUGGCUGUGGGCAUGGGUGCCCACCUGCUCCAGCUCUGCUUCCUCACACGUUUUCCAGCCACUAGACAUUUUUCUGCCUUUCCUUUUUCUGCUGUGAAACCUUACACCCACUUCAGCUGAGGGUCAGUGCGAGGCCUACCUUCUACACCCCAGAGCCAGGCUUAAACAGGAGCUGGAGCAGAGGCCAACAUCUGCUCCUCUUCUCCAGCCAUGCCUGCACGAGCCCCCAGGAUUUUAGAGAAUCCCCCUAUGUGUGUCACCACAUUUGUCCUUGCAGGCCAGAGCCCAGUAUUACCCUGCACUAUGGAAUUCCCAGCCUUCCCCUGUCCCCCAGCUCCCACUCCAGUCAGCCAGGUCCUGUUUGGUAACUAAAACACAAGCUAGUGAUGCCUGUUGGAAACCCCCCAGGCACUGAGGUGCUCUGAGGAAGGAGGGACAGAGGGCAAAGCUCCAAGCACAGCUCACCCUGAAGUUCUCGGGGUCCACGUGCAGCUUGUCACAGUGCAGC